AACUCAAGCUUUCUCUGUUUCGAUUUUGUCCGCGGUGAAUAAAACAAGAGCUUCUGGUCUUUUUGAUUGAAGACAAACUCAAGAUACAGCAAUAAUUAACAGCAAGUUUGAGAGUGAAAGAAGAACCGACUUACCUACGGCGAGGAGAAUUUCGCCGAUUAUUGUUUGAAGGUACAAUCAACGGUUAAUGGAAAUAUGGAGAGUGAAAGAAAAGAGGCUUACCUGCGGC